rnacentral:rRNA from 1 species
AAAGCGGUUACUAACGCGCAUGGUGGAUGCCUUGACUUUGAAGAGCGAUGAAGGACGUAGUAGGCUGCGAUAAGCCUCGGGGAGCUGCCAAACAAGCUUUGAUCCGGGGAUCUCCGAAUGGGACAACCCAUCCCGCUUUUGGCGGGAUAUCAUACAUCUGAAUACAAUAGGAUGAUGAAGCGCACCCGGGGAACUGAAACAUCUUAGUACCCGGAGGAAAAGACAUUAUUCCGUGAGUAGUGGCGAGCGAAAGCGGAACAGCCUAAACCCAGCACCUAAUUGAGGAGAAGUAAUUUUGAUUCAUGGAAUUUGUCAUUUUGAUUUGAUGGCAAUGUGAUUUGUGACUCUUGAAUGAAGGAGAAACGGAAUUGAUUGAUUCCUUCUCUCAGGAUCAAGCAAAGCCGACUUACAAAGGAAUUGACCACUCCCUUCUUCCAGAGAUUAAAUUAUGUGUAAUGUUAUAUUUUAGUGGCAAUCACGGAUGAUUGCCUCCUCAAUACGGAUGAUUGCCUCCUCAAUUAGGUGCUGGGGGUUGCGAGGUAUAUGGACUCGGUUGAACGGGGUCUGACGACGUUUCUCUAGCAGAACGGUUCUGGAAAGACCGACCACAGAAAGUGAAAGUCUUGUACGCGAAAGAGAAACGCGCGGAUGCAUAUAUCCUCAAGUAGGGCGGGGCCGGAGAAACCCUGUCUGAAUCUGGGAGCACUAACUUCCAAGGCUAAAUAUCUUCAAAGAUCGAUAGUGAACGAGUACCGUGAGGGAAAGGUGAAAAGCAUCCCGGUGAGGGAGAUGAAAGAGUUUCUGAAACCAUGUCGCGAACGAAGAGUCGGAGCCACCACGCUUAUGUUUUUUAGGUGUGUUUUUGUGUAAUUGAAGAGGAGAUGAGAAAUGAGUCAGAGAAAAUGUCCAAAAUGUGGGUCAACGAGAAUUGAUGGGAUGGCAGUUCUUGGAGGGCGGAUAGAAAUGGAAGCGCAGGAAGAGUAUAAAAUGAUUACCGUCAUUCAAGCAAGACACAUCAUUUUAUAAUUAUUAUAGUGAUGUGACCGGUACAGCAGACUCUCACUGUAGCGACUGUAAAUAUUCAUGGGAGGAACAAACAUUGUCAAGACAUGAAAUUCUCUUCGCUUCUUUUUGAAAUUGAAAGAUCUCAAAAGUUUUCAAAAAACUGAAUAUUCUUGAAUAUUGCGUUUACAAUCUUCAAAUUACAAGAAACUUACAAAAGUGGUUGUAAGAAGUACCUAGAAAACGAUAAGCGUGGUGGUGACGGCGUGCUUUUUGCAGAACGAGCCAACGAGUUUGCUCUACGUGGUCGCCUAAGGAAUCGUAUUCCGGAGGCAAAGUGAAAGCGAGCCUGAUAAGGGCGUUUAUGAUCGCGUGGACAAGACCCGAAGCCGGACGAGCUACAUAUGAGCAGGGUGAAGCGAAGGUAACACUUCGUGGAGGCCCCGACCCACGAGCCGUGCAACACUCGGGGAUGACUUGUGUGUAGAGGAGAAAUUCCAAUCGAGUUCGGCGAUAGCUGGUUCUCUCCGAAAUAGCUUGAGGGCUAGCGUCGCGGAAAUAGGGUCGGGAGGUAGAGCUACUGGAUGAGAAUUCGCGGGCAACCGUAGGAUUUUCAACCAAACUCCGAAUGCCCGAUACCCGUACCGCGGCAGUCAGAAAUCCGGGGCUAAGCUCGGAUCUCAAAAGGGAAACAGCCCAGAUCGUCAUCUAAGGUCCCCAAAUCCAUGUUCAGUGGGAAAGGAAGUGAAGUUUCUCGGACACUUAGGAGGUUGGCUUAGAAGCAGCCAUCCUUUAAAGAGUGCGUAAUAGCUCACUAAUCUAGAGACUUCGCGCCGAAAAUGUAACGGGGCUAAACAUGGUACCGAAGAUACGGGAUCGUGAACUUCAUUUAUGAAAUUUACGAUCGGUAGGAGAGCGUUCCUUGUGCGUCGAAGUUCACGCCGCGAGGCGGGAUGGAGCGCAGGGAAGUGAGAAUGUUGGCAUGAGUAACCGCAAGGGAAGUGAAAUCCUUCCCCACCGAAAGUCCAAGGUUUCCCGGGCAACGGCAAUCGUCCCGGGGUUAGUCGGUCCUAAGGCGAGGCCGAAAGGCGUAGUCGAUGGCAAGCAGGUUAAUAUUCCUGCACUACCGAUGCAUUCGAUGGAGUGACGCAUUCUAGUAUUCUUCGCGCGUUAUUGGAUUCGCGUCCUUUCCAUAAGGAGGUUCCUUUGGUAAAUCCGGGGAACGCUACUCCAAGUGGCGAGGCAACCGCGCGGAACACCGGGUUUCGAAUUCUUGACUGGAUUCGAAUUCUUGCGUUCCGCACGGGAGGAAGGAAAGCAGGGUGCCAGGAAAAACUUCUUAGGUUCGUGCAUCGAUAUCCGUACUGCAAACCGACACAGGUGGACUGGUCGAGUAGACCAAGGUGAACGGGAGAACCUUCGUUAAGGAACUCGGCAAAAAAGCUAGGCGUACGUUCGCAAUAUGCCUUCCCCGCCGCAAGGUGGGGCGCAGCGAAAGUUUCCCAAGCGACUGUUUACCAAAAACACAGGUCUCUGCAAACCCGCAAGGGGAAGUAUAGGGGCUGACGCCUGACCAGUGCUGGAACGUUAACGGGAGCGGUUCACGCCAAUCCCCGAAGCGCCAGUGAACGUCGGCGAUAACUAUAAUCGUCCUAAGGUUCCGCUCGUUUCGGUCUCUUUUGGGCCAAAGCAAGCGGAAGGACUGGGACGAUUAUGGCGAAAUAAAUAUGGUAAUCAGAAACAAGAUGAUGCAUUGCUGCCUCGUCGCGUGGUAACGCGCGAACAGGUCCUCAAAUUUUACAGAGCUAUAUGCUGGGAUGUCCCUUGUAAGGGGCGAAUCAGCAGGGAAGUUUUCAUUCGAUUUCUCGGACGAAAACCCCUCAGAGACCAUACGCUCUGCUCCGGAAUACGAAUCUCGUAUUCUCGGAUGAAGAUAUGGUCCUUCGCACAAGGAAGCGAAAAGCGAAAUUCCUUGACAGGUAAAUUCUGUCCCGCAUCAAAGGCGUAACGACUUGGGAACUGUCUCAACGAAGGACCCGGUGAAAUCGCAAUGACGGUAAAGAUGCCGUCGACCUACAGCAAGACGAAAAGACCCCGUGGAGCUUUACUAUAGCUUGGUAUUGAGUAAGAGUUUAAGUUGCCGAGAUUAGGUGGGAGGCUGCGAAGUUCCGAUUCUGGUCGGGAUGGAGCCAACAAGUGGAAUACCACCCUGCUUCGAUUUUUAUUCUCACCCUGGGCCGUUAGUUGGUUUCUACGCACCGAUGUUCUCGAAUCAAGAGAGCUCGGUUUAUUUGUCAGGUUCAAAUCGUUCGAGAAACUAACUACCGGUCCGGGGACAGUGCCUGGCGGGUAGUUUGACUGGGGCGGUCGCCUCCUAAAAAGCAACGGAGGCGUUUACAAAGGUAGGCUAGGUCCGGAUGGAAAUCGGGCCGAUAGCGCAAAAGCAGAAGCCUGCUUUACUGAAAGACCCAUACGUCGAUCAGUCACGAAAGUGGAAUUUAGUGAACCGACCAUCCCUCGUAGGAGGGUGGAAGAUCAACAGAUAAAAGUUACCCCGGGGAUAACAGGCUAAUCACGCCCAAGCGUCCACAGCGACGGCGUGGUUUGGCACCUCGAUGUCGGCUCAUCGCAUCCUGGGGGUGGAGAAGCUCCCAAGGGUUUGGCUGUUCGCCAAUGAAAGCGGUACGCGAGCUGGGUUCAAACCGUCGUGAGACAGGUUGGUCUCUAUCUGCUGUAGGCGUCAUUACUUGAGAGGAGUCUUUCCUAGUACGAGAGGACCGGAAAGAACGAACCUCUGGUGUAUCGGCUGUUCUGCCAAGGGCACUGCCGAGUAGCUAUGUUCGGACCGGAUAACCGCUGAAAGCAUCUAAGCGGGAAGCCGACCUCAAGAUAAGGUAAUUCCUUCGAAUUUAUUCGGAGGGGAAUAUCCUCGAAUAACACGAGGUUGAUAGGCUUCAGGUGUAAGCCCUGUGAGGGGUUAAGCCGAGAAGUACUAAUAUAUUCUUUCAAUCGCUUUUC